GUCCUUUUGAGUUUAAUUUAAGGUCUAACCUGCCCACUGAAUUUUAAAUGGCCGCAGUAAUUUGACUGUGCAAAGGUAGCAUAAUAAUUAGUUUUUUAAUUUAAAGCUUGUAUGAAGGGUUGGACGAAAUAAAAUCUGUCUCUAUUUAAUUAAAUUUAGAAUUUAACUUUUAAGUUAAAAGGCUUAAAUAUUAUUAAAAGACGAGAAGACCCUAUAGAUCUUUAUAUUUUUUUUUAUAAUUUUAAUUAAGAAUUUUUAAUUUUUUAUUAAAAAAAGUAUUUUAUUGGGGUAAUAUAAAGAUUAAAAUAAUUCUUUUUUUAUUUAAACAUAUAUUUAUGAUUAUUAAUGAUCCAAUUUUAUUGAUUAUAAGAUUAAGUUACCUUAGGGAUAACAGCGUAAUUUUUUUUGAGAGUUCUUAUCGAUAAAAAAGUUUGCGACCUCGAUGUUGGAUUAAAGAUUAUUUUAGGUGCAGAAGCUUGAAAAUUUUGGUCUGUUCGACCAUUAAAUCUUUACAUGAUCUGAGUUCAGACCGGCGUAAGCCAGGUCGGUUUCUAUCUUUAGUAAAUUAAAAUAUUUUAGUACGAAAGGACCAAUUAUUUAAUAUAUUUAUAUUUAAUUUUUGAAUAUUAUUAA
rnacentral:rRNA from 1 species